UUUUUUUUUUUUGUGCUUUUUUGGUGUAGUUAUAUUCAAAGGCGAAUUUAGGUUCCGUUUGGACAUGGUUUGAAAUCAGAUUGAUUUGUAGCUGAAGUUUUGUUUGAAUAUAUGCAAACUAUAGUUCAUAAACAAGAUAUUAGAGAUAAAUUGAAUAUAUCCAUAUUUCUUAUAUAAUAGGGCCACAAAGGUUAAUCCAAGGGCAUUUUGUGGCCAAAAAGUAAACGAAGGGUAUAUUUGUAUUAGACCCUUCUCCAUAUAAAUGAAUAUAUGCGAUGUUCUUAAUUUAAUUUUGUACAUGUUUAGUAGUGAAUUUUUUUUUUAUCACAAAUAAAAAGUUUAGACUAAAACUAUUGAACGAGUAUAUUAUGUUCAAACCUACAUUCGACAUGGGCUAUAUAGUAAUUGGUAAGCAAAAGACAUUACACUGGUAUUUGCACUUGAUAAUUUUGAGUCAUUACAAUUUACAAGCUGAGGUUUUCCUAAUAUAUGUAAUUCUCAUUUGUCUUCUUCUCAUCAAGGGCGGAGCUAGUACCAUUGAAAAAUCACAGUGUAAAUAUACAAGGAAGAAUUUCCUGUUUGACAUUAAGAUUUUUUUUCUAACUGUAGUGGUUACGGCUUAAUGAGAUUUCAAAAGUUGUUUUAGGUCCCAAAUAUGAAUUUCCUGACUCCGCAACUGCUUGUAUAGCUUGUUUGGAACAACCAAAGGAAGAAUCGCCAAAACUGUAACUUUAGUAAUACUAUUAUGUAUCAUAUAGUGCCAUGAUUUGCUAGAAUAACUGCUAUUCUAUUUUGCUAUCUAAAGAUGUGGUUAAUUGUUGGAUAUCCAGGUUACCCUUCUACAACUGUGGUGUUGCGCGAAUGUGAAGCUAAGUUGUUGUCAUUUGUAUUUCAUGAAUAUGGCAAGGGGGUGACAUUUUAUGAACGAGUAAAGAAGGGAAUGACACGAUGUGACGCAAUAGCUAUGAAAACAUGUAGAGAGAUUGAAGGAAAUUUUUGUGACUACAUCUCAACACAAUUUGAAAAGCCAGUCCUUUACACCGGACCUGUUAUUUCUGAGCCGAAAAAGGAGCCUUUAGAAGAACACGGAAUAUCGAAUUGGCUUGAGAAAUUCGAGCCAAGAUCAGUAGUGUUCUGUGCAUUUGGGAGUCAAUUGAUUCUUGAAAAGAAGCAGUUUCAAGAACUUGUUUUAGGCUUUGAACUGACUGAGUUACCAUUUCUUUUAGUUGUUAAGCCACCUCAAGGGACAAAUUCAGUAGAAGAAGCCUUACCAGAGGGAUUCAAAGAAAGGGUUCAAGAAAAGGGAUUGAUUCUUGAUUGUUGGGUGCCACAAUUGGAGAUUUUAAGACACAAAUCAGUUGGUUGUUUCGUAACUCACUGUGGUUAUGGGUCGAUGUGGGAGUCUUUGGCACUGUGUGAUUGUCAAUUGGUACUUUUGCCAAGGCCUAUUGAUCACAUUUUUAAUGCUAGGCUGAUGGAAAAACAACUUAAGGUUGGUGUAGAAGUGGAGAAAGACGAAAAUGAUUUGUUUACUAAGGAGAAUUUGUUCAAGGCUGUGAAAUGUGUGAUGGAUAAAGAUAGCCAAAUCGGUUGUCUUGUGAAAAAGAAUCAUAUGAAAUAGAAGGAACUUCUUUCAAGUCCUGGCUUCAUGAGUAACUACAUCGAUAACUUCAUUCAAGACUUGCAUGCACUUCUAGUUGAAAAGACCUAGAUAAUUAGCAGGGGUGGAUCUACGACAGACAAAAUCCAAUGUAUGUCUAAUCUAUUCAAUCAAUUGUUAUCCUAUUUUGAUAUUCAGAACUCAUAAGCUUAAAAUCGUGUAUCGAAUGUAACUUGCAUUUAUCAGAUACUUUCCUGCAGUGUUUAGGAGUUAUACAUCUUCUUUUCAAAUUUAGAGCUUUUUUUAUUAACAUUUUUAGAUCCUUCAAAUGCAUUUAUGAACCCUCAAAGAUAUACUGCAUAACUGAAGCUAAUAAUAUAAAUACGAAUUCAAGAAUAAAUACAUAAUAUCUGAUUCAUUCACAAUUUAAUACAAGAUUAUUCUUUUCAAUGAUAUGUGGGCAAUAAAAUUGAUCUCCAAGAGUUGAAAGAAAAGAUUAUUUCAUUAAAAUAAAAAUAGAGAGAAGAUAUAUAGAUGAAAUUGAGCACUAUUUAUAAAGGAUCAUGAUUUAUCCAUCUUUUGAACAUACCAAAACAUUCUUCAGGUUUGUAUCUACAAGCUGUGUGUCCUGAUCCCUUUUUUUUUUGAAAAAAAAAAACACAAAGUUAAAUACAAGUAUAAAGUUAAAAUAAGUCUCGUUAAAUAAAAAUCAAUCUGACUAAAUUGAGAUAAAUUAAUAAUUUCCAAUUUUCAUGAAAAUUAUUCUACAAUUAAUUUCAUACCUUCACUGUUGCAAAAGUCAUUUUGUUGGAGUAAGAUCUCGUAUAACUACAAGGAUACGAUAUUAGAAAAAAUGAUUAAGCAUUAUCAACUCACAUAAUAAUAAUUAGUUUUAAGAAUUCAUAAUUGUAAUUAAGGAUGUUAAAUUUGGAGAUUAAUUACCCAGCAACUUGAUUAUUUACGUUCCAUGGACGCCAAUCAUCAACAAUGGAGUAGUUUAGAGACUUUAUCCAUUUCUGUGUGGAUUGAAAAGGUACUGAAUAAUCAUGAUCGCCACUGUUUAAACAUGAAAAGAAAAAAACCUCCAUUUUAUAUUCAUGAAAUUAUUGUAAAUACAUCGAACAAUAAAAUUAUAAUGACAUGAAAAAAGUUCUUCUGUAUAUCUCCGCAGGGGCUCACAUAUCUUUUGAAGUAUUAAUCUUUUUUAGUUUUGUGGCACUAGGUGAGAUUUAGGACCCGCUUAAUCAUGAAAAUUUAUUUAUUUUUUUCAGAAAUUCUCUUUACUUUUUAAGAAAUUAGUAUUUGUUCAUGAAAAUUUCAAAUACAACUUGAAUUUGUAUUUCAAAUCUACUGUGUUACCACUUUUAUUAUAUUAGAAAAAAUACAUUCAAAUUAUAAACAUUAUUUGCAAAAAGUAUGAUCAAAUACAACUCUAACUUUAAAAGUUUCAAACAAUAAACAAUAUUUGAUUUUCAUGAUGAAACUUCCAUUUACUUUGUGUUAUUCAGAUAUCAUGCAAUAACUUUAAUCUCAUGCCAAAUAUAUAAAAUUUACAUAGACACAAACGGAACAAUAUUGAGUACUAAUUACCUGUAUAUAAGUGAUCGAUAACCUUUAGUGCUUAGAUUUGCAUGAUAUGGUACAACAUUAUCGAUCGUGAGAGUGUAGUUGGGAGGAGAGCCUACACUUGAAAUUUUGUUACAUUGUACCCAGCUUCCUAUGAUUCUCUGUGAAGAGUAAAAUUACGAGUAACUAAGUGAUAUAGUAAAAUUAUGUGAUAUAUAUACUGUACACUCUUAUUGUAAUCCACGUACCUUUCGAACAUGAAGAGCUUCUUGGACUUUCGGGUCAUUAGCCCAAUACUUCAUAUGCUUGCGCCAAUCAGACUGAAGUAAUUGAGAAUAAGUUUCUACAAUUACUAGUAUUUUAUUUAUUCAUUUAAGUUAUAUACACAAACAGUAAUGUGGUAAAAAAAAAUUAUGAAUGUCAAAAUGAUAAAACAUGUUUUGUAUAAGGAUAAAGCCUCGUCCACUAUGGAUUAUUUUCUUCAUUUUUAUCUGUCUUCUUCUUUUUUCAAUUUUUUUGGGAGAUAAUUUCGCAGAUGGAUGAGGAUAUUUUUCUUAGAAAAUCACUCAAUUUUGUUUUAUAAUCUAAAGUCACUUAAUUGUAUAAAACAAAGUUAAGCGACUUUCUAAAUGAUUUACCUAGAGUUGAAUAACCAUCUGUGAUAUUAUCAAAUAUAUACUUUUAUUUCUUUCUUUCUUUUGUUUUAGUAGUAUUUCUUCAUCACCGGACAUUUUAGGUUGAACAUGUAUAUAUAUGCUGGGAGACUCAAUUUUGUUUUAUAAUCUAAAGUCACUUAAUUGUAUAAAACAAAGUUAAGCGACUUUCUAAAUGAUUUACCUAGAGUUGAAUAACCAUCUGUGAUAUUAUCAAAUAUAUACUUUUAUUUCUUUCUUUCUUUUGUUUUAGUAGUAUUUCUUCAUCACCGGACAUUUUAGGUUGAACAUGUAUAUAUAUGCUGGGAGACUCAAUUUUGUUUUAUAAUCUAAAGUCACUUAAUUGUAUAAAACAAAGUUAAGCGACUUUCUAAAUGAUUUACCUAGAGUUGAAUAACCAUCUGUGAUAUUAUCAAAUAUAUACUUUUAUUUCUUUCUUUCUUUUGUUUUAGUAGUAUUUCUUCAUCACCGGACAUUUUAGGUUGAACAUGUAUAUAUAUGCUGGGAGACUCAAUUUUGUUUUAUAAUCUAAAGUCACUUAAUUGUAUAAAACAAAGUUAUGUGACUUUCUAAACGAACUGCCUAGAGUUGAAUAACCAUUUGCGAUAUUAUUUGAUAUUCCUAAUUUUUAUUCUUUUCUUUCUUUUAUUUUAGUAGUAAUUCUUUAUCAUCGGACAUUGUAGCUAGACCAUCUAUAUAUAUGCUAGGAGAAUAUCAAGAUAUAAGUCUAACCACCUCAAAUGUCGUUUCUGACAUACUAUAGUCUAUAGAUAUUAAAGUCUCUCAACGACGAAAAUCAGAAAUACAUAGAAAUAUAUAUAUAUAUAUAUAAAGAACUUACAGCACACUUGUCUUGACGUUGCAAGGAGAUGAGUUUUUCAUCAAGUAAUCUUCUCUCACCAGACAUUUGAUAUGGACCUUGAAGAUAAUCAUAUGUGCAAAAGGGCUCUAAUAUGUGUUCCCCAUUAAUGUUUUUAACUAACUGCAUAACUAUAUGUUAAUUUACUGACAUAAAAAUAACAAAUAACCUACUAUUACAUCGAUCAAUCGAUAAUACUGUAAAACAAUAAUUAUAACCUGCUUGAAAAUUCGAAAGUCAUUUGCACAUCCUUUAUUGUUGGGAUCUAUAUUUGUAUAUUCUCCUCCACAAUUCUUCUCUAAUGACUGUUAACACAAAUCAAUAUUCAAGUUAAAUUAACAUCUCAAAUUUUAAACCUAAUUAUAUAUAAUGUAGAAAGUAAUUAAAACAAAUUAAUUAUGACUUAACCUUAUAAAGUUCAUCAGAUAUAAGUCCCAUGCCAUAACUAAAAAGUAUUUGAUAAUUGUCUUCUUGAGGACGAAGUGUUCCAGGACUGCCAAUUAAAUACCCCUUAAAUUAAAAAAAAUAAAAUAUUACUUGAUGAUGGUAAUUAAUUAUUAGAUAACAAAUUCUAAUUAGAGAACUAUUAACCUGAAGAUUAACAAAUGGCUCUUUGCCUGCUGUAUUUCCUGCAUUUGCAAAAAUCAAAGAAUAAUUUCUUUAAGAUUUAUUAUAUGUAAGAAACGUAGUUUUUGAUCUAUAUAUACAUGAGUAAAAUCUUCUAUAUAAUUUUUCAACAAAUUAAGAAUAUUCAAUUGUCCAUCCUUCAUUCUGAUAAGUGUCUCCAUCGGGAUAUCGAUCUAUUAUGUAUCUAGCUAGUACGCGGUACAUCAAAUUGAUUAAUUUGGAACACGUAUGCAAUUUCUUUAUCGAUAGUAUACAUGAACCUUACCAUUUGAUAUCAAUUGGGCUACAACUGGUAUCAUCUUGCCAGCAUAUGAGUUUCCAGACAUGUAAAAUGGAUUUGAGAUGUAUUCUGGAUGAUCACUGAGCCACUGAAAUAAUAAAUUCAUAGUUGAGUAAACAUGAUUUCAAUUUAGUUUAUAAUGAAAAAUUUCAUAAAUUACGUACCCACCUUUCUUAGGAAUUCAUAGACAUAAUCAAAUGCUUGUACAUCAGUUUGCUUAUAUGCAACUUCAUUUGUUACAUAUGAGAAUCCAGUGUUUAUUGGUUGAUCUAAGAAUAUUACACUUGCUAUCUGAAAAUCGAUAAUCAAAUGAUAUAUAUGUUUAACUUUUCUUUUAUUAUGUAGUAUAUUAUAUUAUUAUAACAAUUUUUUUUGGUCAAAACAAUAUUGGAAAAAAAAAACUUACCUUGGUCCAUGCGUGUGGGUUUAGUACGAACGAGGGCAUACUCCCAUAGUAGACUUGUUCCACAAAACGGAGUGGUCCUAAACAAGAAAAUAUCUUAUUAUUAUCUUCGACUAUUUUUUUUUUUUUUAAAUAAUACAUUUUAUUCUUAGUAAUAAUUAAUUAUUUCUUAAAAUAUAUACAUCAAUUAAUAAAUGUAGUAUGGUUAAAUAGUUGUGACAAACAUUAGUUUUUAAUAAAUAUGUCAAAAUUUAAAUAUGACAAGUAAAAACAAAUAAAAAUGUAUUCUCUCCCCUCCCCCCCCCCCCCCCAAAACCCANNNNNNNNNNNNNNNNNNNNNNNNNNNNNNNNNNNNNNNNNNNNNNNNNNNNNNNNNNNNNNNNNNNNNNNNNNNNNNNNNNNNNNNNNNNNNNNNNNNNNNNNNNNNNNNNNNNNNNNNNNNNNNNNNNNNNNNNNNNNNNNNNNNNNNNNNNNNNNNNNNNNNNNNNNNNNNNNNNNNNNNNNNNNNNNNNNNNNNNNNNNNNNNNNNNNNNNNNNNNNNNNNNNNNNNNNNNNNNNNNNNNNNNNNNNNNNNNNNNNNNNNNNNNNNNNNNNNNNNNNNNNNNNNNNNNNNNNNNNNNNNNNNNNNNNNNNNNNNNNNNNNNNNNNNNNNNNNNNNNNNNNNNNNNNNNNNNNNNNNNNNNNNNNNNNNNNNNNNNNNNNNNNNNNNNNNNNNNNNNNNNNNNNNNNNNNNNNNNNNNNNNNNNNNNNNNNNNNNNNNNNNNNNNNNNNNNNNNNNNNNNNNNNNNNNNNNNNNNNNNNNNNNNNNNNNNNNNNNNNNNNNNNNNNNNNNNNNNNNNNNNNNNNNNNNNNNNNNNNNNNNNNNNNNNNNNNNNNNNNNNNNNNNNNNNNNNNNNNNNNNNNNNNNNNNNNNNNNNNNNNNNNNNNNNNNNNNNNNNNNNNNNNNNNNNNCUCUCCCCUCCCCCCCCCCCUCCCAAAUCUAUUUUUUACCUUAAGUUUUUCAAAGGUCUUUUAAACAUUUUAGAUUAUCAAUUUGACUUAUAGUACUUUUUAUGUAGUUUACAAAUAUAUAAAUUUUAUUUCAAAAAAUUUGAAGAUUUUCAUGAGCAAAUUGUCGGUCAAACUUAAACUGUUUGACUCUCGAAAAAUGAAAAGUGUCACAUAAAUUGGGACAGAGGGAGUAUUUUUUUUUGGGACAAGGCACAAGUAUCCCCUUAGACUAUGACCGAAAUUUCAGAGACACAUCUUAACUAAACUAAGGUCCUAUUACCCCCGAUCUCAUUUUUUUUUUGUAAUUUUAUAAACCUUUUGGCUUACGUGGCACACACCAUGACUCCACGUAGUUGAAGUGCUUGAGAGAUGUUUGGAUGCCACAUAAGCUAAAAAAGUGUACAAGAUUAUUUUUUUUAAAAUGGUUCGAGGGGUAAUAUGAUAUUAGUUUAGUUAAGAUAUGUCUCUGUGAUUUCAGUUAUAGUCUAAAGGGAUACUUGUGCUUUAUUUCAUUUUCUUUUAAAAUUAUAAAAACUGAUGACAUCAAAAUCAGACAAACAAAUUAAAAUCGGAACGACUACCUAUCCCAUUAACAAUGGCAGUGACAGCAGAGCAACCGGGUCCACCAGAUAGCCAAAUCAAAAGAGGAUCGGUAGUAGGCUCGGAUUCUGAUUCCAAAAAAUAGUAGAAAAGUUGCAACUCCUCAUCUUUACCAACUCCAACAUACCUAUUUAAUUAAUAAUUAAUUACCUUGUCAUAUAAUUAAAUUAAAAUAAAAUAAAAUAGGACUAGAAGGAGUAGUAAAUGAAAUGUAUUACUUUCUAUUAAGGGUUGCGUAUCUUUGAUUCGAUUUUGUUUUAAGGUUUAUUGGGUCGAUUUAUAUUUGUAGAUUAAAUCGUUAAGAAUUAUUAUAUAUUGAUUUAUUGAUUAACGGUUUAUCGAUUAUUGAUUAUAAUCAAUUCGGUUAUCGAUUUAACCAUUAAGAUUUGACAUAAAAAAUAAAAUGAUUAAAACUCAUUUAGAAACAUGUUGAACAACCAAAUAAAUCAUGCAUAUAAGUUGAUAGAUUUUAUCUUGCUAAAAAACAACACAGAAAUAAACUAUGAAACUAAGAGCAUGUUUGGCAUUGCUGAUCAAAACUGCUUAUUUGUAGAAGCAUUUUGUAAAAAUAAGUUUUCAGAAAAAUGCUUUUGAAAGAGAAACAAUUUUUGUUUGACUAAUUCUUUUGAAAAAUGUUUUUGAUAAACAAAUUGUGUUUGACUAAUAUUUUUAAAAAGUGCUUAUGAAAGUCAAAUUACGAUAAAAGGCAAGUAUUAAUACUAAGAUUAUUUUAUAGAGAGAAACUAUUUUAAUAUCUAUUAUAAAAAAAAUAUUUGAUUUUUAUUUUUAUUAAAUUAAAAUGUACAUAUUCAAUUUUUCAAUUAAUAUUAUACCUUUUUAUGGGAGGACUGAUAUCUUUAAUUGUUAUUUUUUUCUUCUAAUUUUACAAAAAUAUUGUUCUUACCUUUUUUUUUCUAUUUCUGAUACAAAAUAUAAAAUAAUUAUAAAUAAAUGUAAAAUAAAAUAUUUAUUAUAUAAAAAUAAAAAAUAAAACAUUUUAAAUGAAACUUAAUCAAACUUAUGAGAUAUGGUAAUUAAUUAUUAAGUGAUAUAUUGAUAAAUAUGUAUACCUGGAGGAGAUAUUUUAUUCUUGAAAAAAAUAAUUUCUGAUUUCUACUUCUGAAACAAUUUUUUUAGUUUCUUCCCAACAUUAGAAAAACUAAUUUUUGCUUCUAUUUAAAAACAAUUUUACUGAUUUGUCAAACAAUUAUUUUUUCACAAAAAGUGAUUUUCUCAAAAUAAGUGUUUUUGGCCUCCCAACAACAAUAUCAAACAGGUUCUAAAUUCUAAAUCAAUGACUUCAUAAAUCGAAUGGUAUAAAUAUAAUUUAUUAAUUUACUAUCGAAUUAUCAAUUAACCUGUUAAGAAAAAACCUCAACCAUUAAUAAUCAAUAACUCGAUAAUUACAAAAACAAAACCGUUAAAUUAUACCGAUAAAUCAAUAACUCAUUUUUUAUUCGUUUUAUCAAUUUCAAUUUGAACCGCCCUACUUUCUAUCGAUAUUACCACCAACCUCCUACAAAUCAUCUCCACAUUGCUAUUUAUAUCUAAUGUAGUUAUUCUAAAACUUAAAACCAACCAAAUUUAAAAAUUCAAACUUCACCUCUAAUAUUGCCACGAAAACAUAGUUUUAUUUUAGGAUAAAAAUCUUCUCGUUCUCAAAUAAAUAAAUAAAUGCAAACGAGCUCACCCGGUCUCUAGAGGGAACGGGAGGCGUCCCUGCAAACCGGGAAGAUACUCAACAGUAGAAUGCGAAGCAGCUUGUUGUUGUUGUUGAAGAAGAAGAAGCAGUAGCAGCAACAACUUUUCCAUUAUUGUUGCUAAAUUAUCGAUACUCAUUUUACCAAUAAAUUACUAUUUAUCAUAUAUUAUUGAUGAUAAGGAGCCAAGGGACCUCCACGUGGACAAAAUAUAACAACAAUUUUAGGUAUGUUCUGGUCCCCGUAGAAGUAAUUUUGCUGAAUAAGUGGUGCUAUACGCAAGUAUUUAUUAAUGCGGCUACAAUAAUGAGAUUAAACUCUCGAAAAAGACUAAACAACUAUUAAUAUGUUAUCAAUAUCUUGGUACACGAAAUAAGAUAAAAUGAACUUGCAAAAAAAAUUCUAAUUUUAAUCCAAUGGAAUUAUAAUUCAAAUAAUUUCAACGGAAUUCUAGUUCAGAAAUUCUGCUUGCAUCAACAAAACCUCUAAACAUGCAUCAAAACUGCAUUCAGAGAUCUAAGAAGGGAAAUUUAUAGAAAUUUCACUAGCUUAGGAGUUAAUUUAGUUUCUAACAUUACAAAGUUUACUAGGUUUUGGUGAGUUCAGAUACAUAUAUCUCGGGAUAUGUAGGAUUAAAAUUAAGUGUAAAUGUGUAAUUUAUAUUCUAGAUACACCGUAUCCAAAUGAAUUCACAUCUAUCUGAAAUAGAUAUAUUAUCCUAUGAUCCUUUUGGACAAGUGACAUAAAAUUAGAUUGGUAUAAAAUUAAAUUUUAUUUGAACAUUCAAUUUGAAUUUUUUAAAGUGCAAAUCCUGAUACAAAAAUAAAUGUGCAAAUACAGUCUAAAGCUUUUACAAACGAUUCAUUUAAUUUUCUGCUCCCAAAUGUAGUCCAUUUACUGUCUCUAAAUUAAUUAUAUACCUUUUGUUUUGGUCCGUAAGAAUUUUUUUAUCUUAAAAGUCCCAAUAAGUUUUCUUUCUUCACUUUUUUUUUUUUGGAAUUUAAAUAGUGUAUUUUUUUUAUUUAUAAAUAUCUCAAAAUGUAUAUUUUAUCAUCUAAACAUAAGAAGAAAUUGUAACUUAUCGUAUAAUUAUGAAUAUCUAUAUGUUAAUUUUGAAACAUUCAUGAAUUAAUUUAAGAGCAAUUUUCACAUAUAGCAAACAUAAAAAUUAUAUUUGUAUGUUAUAGCUAUAGUUUGUAUAAUUGCGCUCCAUAGCAAAUUUUUAUGUUUUGAUAUGGAGCUUUUGAUUUGUAUAAUUCGCUAGAUGCAUCCAAUUUUUAUACAAAUUGUUCAGUUUUUGUAUAAAUUCAUUUAUACAUUGUAAUUUGUAUAAUAAGAUUUGUAUUUGUAUAAUUAUAAGUGUAUAGGACGAAAAUAUAUGUAUUUGUAUUUGUAUAUACACUUUUCUCUCGCUUUUAUACAAAUACAAACGCAUUUUAUACAUUUGUAUACCGAAAAUGGCUAAUUGUAUAUCGAAUCAGAUGGCAAAAAAAUGGGAUGUUUGAUGCGAAUUACAAAUAGAAUAAACUAUGGCUAUACCAUUUAAUUUAAAAUUAAUAGUUUGUUAUUUCAUACAAUUUUCCCUUUAAUCCAAAUCUAACUUUAAAGAUUGAUCAAAUUUAACUUUUAAAAAGCAAAAACUACAUCAUAAAUUAAAAUAUUACAUAAAAAUUUAAUUUAAUUUUUUACUUUUUUAAAGUUCAUACAAAUUUUAAAUAAAAUAAUCAAAUAAUAUAAAAUGAAGAGAGCACUAGAUUGUUUUAUUUGUGGCACAUACUUUUCUCUACGUGGAUAAAAUAUAACCACACUACUUUAGUUUAAUAUUUUAGGUAUCCUUAGGUCCCGCAGUAGUAAUUAUUAAUUUUGCUGAAUUAAUGGGUCAUGCAAGCUGGUUAGAUGUGUGAAAUAGAGGACUCGUACGUAUUUGUUAAUGUGGCUACAAUAAAGAGAUUAAAUUCUUGAAAAAGACUAAACAACUAUCGAUCUGCCAUUAAUAGCGAAAUAAGAUAGAAUAUUUGAGAAUUAAACUUAAUUCUGAAAGAGAAAGGAAUUCACUAUCAAGCUAGCUAGCAAGAGAAGUAGAGAGAUAGAUUAUAUAUAUCUGUCCAAGACUUUAGCAAUUUUAAUUUAUUUGGGUUAAGAUAGAUAAAAGGUUGGACAUGAGUUUCAAUUUGGGAAUGACUUGUUUUUAAGAAAAAUGGGUAAUUUGAACUGAUUUGAGGCUUUUCGUUAAAUUAGAGAUAUGGGUGACAAGUUUGUAAAUGGAGGGAUUUAAAUGGCCACAUAUUAUAACGCAUGAUAAAACUAACAAAGUUGCGGAAUAUCUCUGAUCCUUCUCCUAAUAAAAUUAGAAAAAAUUAUUUAAAUAUACAAUUUAUUUUAUCAUGUUCUCUAAAAUUUCCUAUCACUUGUAAAAGUUACAAAAAUCUCUACUCUCUCCUAUUCUCGCAUACAUCAUUUUACACGAUUUAUCGGUCAGAUACAUUAUUUUACAUGAUGUAUCGGUCGGAUACAUCACUUACGCUAUGUAUCAGGACGUUGAGUGAUGUAUCCAAAAUCCAAUUUGAAAAGCCAGUCCUUUACACCGGAGCUGCUAUUUCCGAGUAAAAAAAGGAGUCUUUAGAAGAACACGGAUUAUCAAAUUGGCUCGAGAAAUUCAAGCCAGGAUCAGUAGUGUUCUGUGCAUUUGGGAGCCAAUUGAUUCUUGAAAAGGAACAGUUUCAACAAGUUGUUUUAGGCUUUGAACUGACUGAGUUACCAUUUCAUUUAGUCGUUAAACCACCUAAAGGUACAAAAUCAGUAGAAGAAGCUUUGCCACAGGGAUUCAAAGAGAGGGUUCAAGAGAAGGGAAUGAUUCUUGAUUGUUGGGUGCCACAAUUGGAGAUUUUAAGACACAAAUCAGUUGGUUGUUUUGUGACUCACUGUGGUUAUGGGUCGAUGUGGGAGUCUUUGGCGCUGUGUGAUUGUCAAUUGGUACUUUUGCCAAGGCCUAUUGAUCACAUUUUUAAUGCUAGGCUGAUGGAACAACAACUUAAGGUUGGUGUAGAAGUGGAGAAAGAUGAAAAUGAUUUGUUUACAAAGGCUGUGAAAUGUGUGAUGGAUAAAGAUAGCCAAAUUGGUUGUCUUGUGAAAGAGAAUCAUAGAAAAUGGAAGGAACUUCUUGUUGGGGUUUAUUUGCCCCGAUUUCUUACCAUAAAUAGGUUUUCCUUUUAGGAAAAGGUUUUAAUAUUUUACUAGUCCUUUUCUUGUAGGAAAGGUUUAGGACUCUAUAAAUAUAGGUUUGUUCCUUCUAACUUAAUUAGCAUUCACAAUGUAGUCCUAGGGUUUUGAGAGUUGCGGUUAUGGGGGAGAGUUUUGUGUACCUCCUUGUAUUCAGAGUGAAUUGUUUGAGGUUGUUUCUCUCCAUAUUUUGUACUCUCAUAUUUAUAGUGGAUUGCUCAUCUCCUUUGUGGACGUAGGUCGAUUGACCGAACCACGUUAAAUCUGUCUCUUUUGGUAUAUUUCUCGUUUGUCUUCUUACUCAUGGUCUUUCGAGGUUUGCUUUGCUAGUUUCCGCGUUACACCUGCUUAUUUCGGUCCUAACAAGAGUCCCGGCUUCAUGAGUAACUACAUUGAUAACUUCAUUCGAGACUUGCAUGGGCUUCUACUUGAAAAGACCUAGAUAAUUAGCAGGGUGGAUCUAAUGUUGAAGUUACGGGGUUUGCAUAAUUCAGUGCAUUUUUGUUAAAAAAAUUUACUUAAUAUGUAUGAAUAAUUCAUCCCCAACCAAUUGUUGUCAUGUUUUAAAAUUUAGAAUUUAUAAACUCAAAAACCAUGUAUCUAGUAAAGUAACUUGCAUUUAUCGGAUGUUUCAUGUCGUGUAUAGGAGUUAUACACCUUUCCCUCGAAUUUAGACUUUUCUUUUUUUUAAAAAGGAAAAAAGAACUUUUUUUACCUCUAUAUACACUUCUGAGUUCUGAACACUCAAAGAAAUGUACAAAUUUAGAUCUAAAAUUAAGUUUGGUAUAUUUUUAACUAUGAAAAAGGAUAAAAAAUAUCUCUUAUCAUAUAAAAAAUACUCAACCGUGGAAUGCGAAGCAGCUUGUUAUUGUUGUUAUAGAAGAAGAAGAAGCAGCAGCAGCAAAACUGGCAGUUUCAACAACUUCUCCAUUAUUUCUAAAUGACAUAAACUGAAAAAGUAGACAUACGCAUCCUGCGGCAUAAGACACGUAGGGUGCCACAUAGGACACAAAAUUGUCACGUAGGAUGCCAUGUAGGAUGAAUGUGUCUAUUUAUUCGACAUGUAAAACCAGAACAGGGAAAGAUUUUGUUCACAAACAUCUAAAGUUGGUAAAGUUAAGAAAAAUUAUUUUCAGUAAAAUAAAAUAAAAUAGAGAGAAGAUAUAUAGAUGAAAGUGAGGAAUAUUUAUAAAGGAUAGUGAUUUAUCCAUCUUUUGAACAUAACAAAACAUUCUUCAGGUGUGUCUGUGUCCUGAUCCCUGUUAAAGAAAAAUAAAUAAAUGCAAAGUUAAAUACAAAUAUAAAAUAAAAAUAAAGCUCUUUAAAUAUAACUCAAUCUGACUAAAUUGAUAUAGAUUAAUUAUUUCUUAAUUUUCAUGUAACUUAUUUCUACAAUUAAUUUCAUACCUUCACGGUUGCAUAAGUCAUUUUGUUGGAGUAAGAUCUCGUAUAACUACAAUGAUACGAUAUUAGAAAAAUGAUUCACAGCAAGAAAGAAUUGAAUUAGCCUCGGAGAACUGAACUGCCUUGAUCUGAAUCUCUGGAACUCACAGAAGACCAAGGCAAGUCCACUCUCAAUUCAGCAUAAGCUUGGGAUCUUUCUUUCCUAAAGCAUUUCCCUUGAAGCCAGGUCUUUCUUCUCUUCUUUAAAGCCUGGAGCUGGACUUCUUUUUCCUGACUCGAUUCACUGUUUAAUCACACUAAGUCAGAGCCCAACCAGGGUGAGAGAGAUAGGAGAGUAGGGAUGGGGAACCAAUGUCACCAACAACACUAGCAGUCUCGGAUCUUUGAAUAGACAGAGAGAGAUGCUCUUCCUGCGGCCCAAGAGCGUAUUCGUUCAAAGAGAUGGCAAUGACUUUCUUCCCACCCGGGAAUCGUAGUAAGCCGGGAGAAAGACAUUCAUAUAUUCCCCAGGCACGGGAUAAAGGGAAAGAGAGAGCCGAGAGCCGGGAACGCAAUAAAAAGAAUUUCCCUCUCCCUGUAGGUCGAGCUGAAUUACAUCCACCCUCUCACUUCGUUCGAGCUUCCUUUUCAGCCCUCUCACGGGAAUCUUUUAAUUAGAAUACGUACGAGACUACCAAAGCAAAUUAACUUCUUUCCCCGGAGCAACAACUGAAAGAGAAAAUACCGGUUUAUUCAUCUGCACCGGAAAAGAGCUAAGUAUUAUCAACUAACUUAAUGAUUAGUUUUAAUUGAAAAUUCAUAAUUGUAAUUAAGGAUGUUAAAUUUAGAGAUUAAUCACCCAACAAGUUGAUUUUUACUGCUAGGCUGAUGGAACAACACCUUAAGGUUGGUGUAGAAGGAUGAAAAUGAUUUGUUUACAAAAAUGUGUUAUGGAUAAAGAUAGCCAAAUCGGUUGUCUUGUGAAAGAGAAUCAUAGAAAAUGGAAGGAACUUCUUUCGAGUCUUGGCUUCAUGAAUAAUACAUUGAUAACUUCAUUAAAGAAUUGCAUGGGCUUCUAGUUGAAAAGACCUAGAUGAUUAGCAGGGGUGGAUCUUAGGUUGAAGUUACGGGGUUUGCAGAAUCUAGUGUAUUUGUGCAUUUUUGUUAAGAAAUUUACUUAAUAUGUAUGAAUAAUUCAUCCCCAACCAAGUGUUGUCAUGUUUUAAAAUUCAGAAUUUAUAAACUCAAAAACCAUGUAUCUAGUAAAGUAACUUGCAUUUAUCGGAUGUUUUCAUGUCGUGUAUAGGAGUUAUACACCUUUCCCUCGAAUAUAGACCUCUUUUUUAAAAAAAGGAAAAAGAACUUUUUUUACCUCUGUAUACACUUCUGAGUUCUGAACACUCAAAGAAAUGUACAAGUUUAGAUCUAAAAUUAAGUUUGGUAUAUUUUAACUAUGGAAAAGGAUAAAAAAUAUCUCUUAUCAUAUCAAAAAUAUUCAACCGUGGAAUGCGAAGCAGCUUGUUAUUGUUAUUAUAGAAGAAGAAGAAGAAGCAGCAGCAAAAUUGGCAGUUUCAACAACUUCUUCAUUAUUUCUAAAUGACAUAAUACAUAAAUGUGUCUUUUUACUUGGUUUUAACUGAUACUAGUGAAUAUGUUCGCGCUUCACGCGAUGAGAAAAAAUAAUUAAAAAUAUUUAAAUAAAUCAUUUCUUAUAUUUGAAAAUCAAAAAUAUUUUAAGAAUCAUUUCUAAUUUUCAAAUUCAAAUAGAUUUAAGUUUUAAGUUCUAGUUAUUAUUAAAUAUAAUUUAAGCAAUGUAAUAAUAACUGUUAAAAUAAUUCAAUAUAGUGUGAAUUUUUUUACUAUUGAUUAGAAUCGUAAUUUAAAAUAAUAAAUAUUUUCUUUUAAUUGAAUCAUAAUCGUUUUGCUGAAUUGUUGAUGUACUUGAAAAAAAUGGAUCAUACAGUAUUAAAUAUAUUAUAUGAUGUGUUUGAUUUUUUGAACAAAAUGAAAAGAACACAAAUGGUUAUCGGGCUAAAGGCUUAUUGUAGCAAAGUCGUAGAAGUAAAUUUUGUAUAAAAAAUAUAACUUUUAAAUAUUUAUCAUACAUAAUAUUCAUCGAAAAUUCAUCUAUUCAGUGUAGAAAAUUGAAAUAAAUUGUAACACAAGAUAAAAGAAAAUUUUUAAAUUUAUAUUGCAAUUAAACACAAACAUUAAUUUUUUUAUUAAUCAUUAUUAAGUACUAUGAUUGAAGAUUGAUAUCUCAAUUUAAUAAAAUAUAAAUAUGGAAGAUAAAAGACUGAUGUAGAACCUCACUUUGAUCAGGAUUAUCAGUUUUCUUCUUCUUCUUUUUUUGAAAAUUUUUACUAUCUUUUGAUUUAUAAAAUCUGCAAAAAAAAUAUAUAUAUUUUAUUUAUUUCUCUCCUCACUAUUAUUACAAUUUAUUAAAUAGUAAAUAUUUUUCACCUCUCCUCAUCAUACAACUUCUACAGUUUACUUUUUUCCACCUUCUAUUUUUAUAGUUUUUUAAAAUAAAAAUUCUUGUUGAUCUCUCAUCAUUAUUAUCAUAAUUAAUUUUUCUUAUUCAAAAAAUUCUCUUUUUCGUUAAUUGUUUUCUUUCCUUUGAUUUAUAAUUUCUUUUUUAAAAAAUAGAUCUUAAAUAUUUUAUUUAUCUUUCUCUGCACUAUUGGUACAAUUUAUUAUAAUUACUUUUUUGUUUUUUCUCGUUGUUGCUAUAAAACAUUCUUUUUAAUUGCCCUUUUGUUGUCUAAAGAAAAUCUUAUUUAUUUCUUCUCCUUAUUAUCACUAUUAUUAAUUUAUUAUUAUUAUUAUUUAAAUAAAUACUUUUCUUUUCUUUUAAUUUUUUCUCUUGAUAUAUAUAUAUAUUGACCAAGAAUUUAAAUUAUCCCCUUUCUCCUUUCUUGACUUUAAAAUGUUUUUUUCUUAUUUAUAUUUAUGUUUUAAAACUCAAAAGAAGUUAUAAAUAGUAUCUUAAUUAGUACUAACUGUUUAACAUAUUUAUAGUACACACCUUUAUAUUAUGAUUAUGAUAAAUAUAUUUACCUUAUUUAUAUAUCUUCUUACAUUACUAUAAUUUAUUUUUUUUCAUCUCUCCUCAUUAUUACUAUAAUUUAUUAUUAUUUUAAAAUUCAUUUUUUACCUUCUAUUUUUAUAUUUAAAAUGAAAAUUUUAUGAUCUCUCCUCGUUAUCAUCGUAAUUUAUUCUUAUUAUUAUUCACAAUAUUUUUCUUCUAUACAAUUAUUUAUCUUUUAAUCUAAAAAAUUAGUUAAAAAUUAAAAAAAUCAAAUAUUUUAUUUAUCUCUCUCCUCACAUUAUUACAAUUUAUUACUUUUUAUUUCUACCUUUUAUUUUAAAAGUUUCCCAAGAUUUUUUUUUUAUUCAUCUCUCUUUCUUAUUAUCAUAAUUUAACAUUGUUUAUGAAAUUUCUGUUCUUUCUUAAUUUUUUUUAUCUAUAAAAUUUAUAUGAAAAAUAUUUCUUUGAUCAAGAAUUAUAAUUAUUUUUUUCUCUCCUAUUCUUGAUUUUUAAUUUUUUAUUUAUUUAUGUGCUAUGUUAAUAAAAAUCAAAAUAUUCUUUGAAUAAAUAGUUUAUAUAUUUUUAUAAUUUUUUUUAUUUUAAUGUUAAAUAAAAAGUAGAAAGAGAAUGAUGUAAUUAGUAAAACAAAAUAAAACAAAGAGUAAUGUAUAACUCUCUUUCAUUUUUUUGUGUUUUCUUUUAUGGUAGUAUUUUUAAUUAUUAUUUUUUCCUUUUUUUUUCUUUUCCUUCCUUUUACUUUUUACUCAAUUUCAUUCCUUGCCUUCUCAUUCUUUUUCAAACUAUCAUAUUAUUCUUUUUUAUCAGAAAAGAGAAUUAAUUUUUUUUUAUAACUUUCCAUAUUAUUUCAAUACCUUAUAGAUAAAUAAAUUAAAAACAAAAAAAAGUAAAAAAAAAAUAGUGAUUUAAGGAAAUGAUAUAAAUUGAGAGUAAUGAUCAAAUUAAGGUUAGGAUGUAAAAUAUGAUUGAUGAUGAAUGAAAUUAAAUAUGGUCACUUUGAUAUUCAAUAAAAUUUGAAAGUGAAAUUUUCAGUCUUUUAGAAUUUUAAAAAAUAAUAUAAAAUUUAAAAACAAAAAAACUACAAAAAUAUAAAUUUCAGGCCUAAAAAAAAUAUCACGUCAUAUAUAUAUAUGGUUUAAAGAAAUAAACUUUAACUAAAGAUAUAUAAAAGAAAAUUAAAAAAAUUCAAUUGAAAAUAUAUAAAAAAUAAUAAAACAAACUUUAAUUAAAGAUAAGUAAGGAAAAAUUAAACAAAAAACGUUUUUAAGGGAGGGGGAAUAAAAAAAAGUUUUUAAGAGAAGAAAAAGGAAUUAGAAUAUACAUUUCUCCUUAUUCCUUCCUAAUUUAAUAAGAAUUCCAUAAAUAAAUUGAUUCUCUCUCUAAAUAAUUCUUGUUGCCCUUGAACCACGUAUCAUUCUUUUUAUAAGUUUCUCAAUUAAAAUAAUUUUUUUCUUCUCAAUAUAUAUUUUCUUUUAGAAGGAAUUAUAGUGCAAAAUUCUUUCAAAAGUAUGAUUAUUAUAUGAUUUUUCUUCUUAGAUCAAUAUCUUUGAAACAAUCUUGAGAUACGGCCUCUUUCUCUUUUCAUGAUGAGAUAACAUUCCAUCAUCAUUACAAAAAAAGACAAAGAGCGAAUUUGUUGUUCAUUAUGAGAUCUCUACUAUACAUCUCUAAAUUAACUUUCAGAGAACUUUAAUUUGUCGUUAUUUGUAAAUCAAAUAGAAUAGAAUGAGAGAAUUAAUAUUUCAUGGUGGCAUCAUUUCCACGGUCUACAAGUUGAAUGUUAGAAGACAUUUUUGAUGUUUUUCGAUCUUCAAGUAUAUUGAAUUCUUAUAUAGGAUUUCAUUCUUAUUUUGCUAGAUCCACUUGUUGUAAUUCUUGUUGGCAUAAAAUGGUCAAAUCUACACAGGUAUAUUCUAACGAAUUCAUUCAUACAAACAAAUCAAUUUUUAUUUAUUUAUCUGAGCUAGCAAAACAUCUCUUGCUAUGAGUUCUUGAUUCAUCUCCUGCAUAAUGUUUGUUUACACAAAUAAAGCAAAAAUUCAAUUUACCUGAAGGAGUAAAUCUGCUCUUGCAAUGAUUCUUUCAUUUUGUCAAUUUACCUUCAAAAUAUGUGCUCUCCAGCCUAGUUUUGUUUGUACAAACAAAUCAAAAAUUUGAUCUAUCUAAGGUAGUAAAACUUUUCAAAAUAUUAAUUUACCUGAAGUAGUAAAUCUUCUCUUCCAAUGAUUCUUCCAUGUUGUCAAGUUCCUUACAGAUUAUGUGAUCUCCUACAUAUUUUUUUAUACCUUUUUAAUUGGUUGAUUACAAAACCGUUACAACUGUUCAUUUUCUAUUGCAACAAUAAAUAUAUUCUUUAUGUUAAAACUUUUCAUUAUCCUCUUUAACUGUAGGUUAAUAGAUGCAUUAGAGGUAUUUAGUAGAUUAUUAUAUUAAGAAAUGAAUUUAAAAGAUCAAAAAAUUGAGGAAAAGAUAAAAUGAAAUGGUGGCCAUAGAGAGAUGCCACAUCAGCUUUUCUAUAUUUAGCUUUAUAUAAAUAUAUAGAUUUAUACUCUCCAAUUUUGAGAGUGCACAAGUAUGCACUUAAACUUGUAAAAUACUAAAAAAGUAGACACACGCAUCCUGUGGCAAAAGACACGUAGGGCGCCACAUAGGACACAAAAUUGUUACGUAGGACACCAUGUAGGACGAAUGUGUCUAUUUGUUCAAUUUUGUACAAGUUUAAGUAUCUACUUGUAAAUAUCCAAAGUUAGAGAGUAUAAAUGCCAGUUGAAGCCAAGUUAAAGAGCACAAUUGCCUUCCUAAAUUAGGGGUGUGCAAAAACCGAUUUAACCAAUAAACCGAACCGAAAAAAACACUAUUGGUUUAUUGAUAUUGGGUUAUUGGGCUAACAGUUUUUAAACGGUUUUGCAAAUUUUUUUAUUGGGCUAUUGGUUCGGUUUCCGGUUUUAUAAUUUUUGUUAAUGGUUAAACCGAUAACCCAAUAAGACUAUACUAAAUUUACUAGUCUUAUUGUUAAUGGUUAAACGAUUGUUACUUUCACACUUUUUGUGAAUGUGUCUAGUGUCUAAACUUGCAAGAAAAAUGAUUGUUACUUUUAUGAUUAUUACUCAUGCCAAAUGCUGGAAAAAUCAUAUGGUUUAUUUGAAAAUUUUCUUAUCGUGUAUAUAAUAUAUAUAAGUAUUUUCUUAUUGGUUAAACCGAAAAUCGAACCGUUAAGUACCAUAAACCGAUUAACCAAAAACCGAUAAGAAAUAUGUUAUUGGUUUGGUUAUCGGUCUGAAGUAUUUACAAACCGAAAACCGAUAAACCGAACCAAUAACACCUAAAACCGAACCGAACCGACCGAUGCGCACCCCUAUCCUAAAUUAUUAACAGUCAUUUUACCAACAAAUUAAUACUAUGUAUUGAUGAUAAAUAGUGGUGGCAAAUGGGCGGGUUGAAAAUGGGUAAUAAUUCAACCCGCUCAUAUUUGAUAUGGGUAAAAAUGAAUUGGGUAACAAAUGGGUUGGGUAAAAUACUAGUUUACCCAUAUUUUACCAUAUUUUCAUGAGUAAAUAAUACUCAACUUAAGAAUUCAACAUGUAGAAAAUAUUUUAGUCUUUUUUUAGAUGAAAAAUGUUGAAAAUGCUUCAUUUAGUAUUAUUGUAUCAUAAAAGUAAAAAAAAAUCCUAUAACUUUUCAAUAUAAAAUAAAUUUAUGUAAUAACAGGGGGGACAUAUUUUUAAUUUCAAAAUAAAUGAAUAUUUGCAUUUUAGAACUAAAACAUGCUUAAUGCACUUUAACCAAUGUCAAUACUAGUACAUGAUUUGCUUAUUUUACACUAUUAUUUAUUAUCCAAUAUAAAAUUAAGCAAAUAAAAAAAUAUAUAAUUAUAAUUAACAAAAGAAAUGUACAUUUAAAAAUAUAUAUUUUUUGGAGGGCCAAAAGACUUUCACCUUUUUCAAUUAUAGAGAAAAAUAAUUAGUUUUAUAGAAGAAUAUGAAAAGGAAGAGAAGUUACAAUAUUUUUAGUGAUAUCAUGAAUUUUGAAUGAAUAAAAGUUAGAAGCUUAACCCAUUUGGUUAAUCCAUAUUUUAUCCAUAUUUUUAUGGGUUGAAUAUGAAUAUCAACCCAUAUUUUACUCAUGUAAAAGGUCACUCACCCAACCCAUUAAAAUAUGAACGGAUUGGGCGGGUUACAAAAUAUGUCCUCAUUUUGCUCGCACUAAUGAUAAGGAACCAAUGGAACUCCUUUAAAGUUUUAUGAACAAUUAAAUCCCUUAUAUCCAAAGACAAAAUUGAAUGAGAGGAAGCAUUUCGUCGAAGGCAAAAGAGAAAAAAAGAUGACAGAGUCAAAAAUGGAAAUAGUGAUGUUCCCAUGGCUUGCUUUUGGGCACUUAAUCCCAUAUAUGAAUCUGUCAAAUGAAAUUGCAAAAAGAGGUCACAAAAUCUCAUUCUUGUUGCCCAAAAAUGCUGAAAUUAGACUUCAAAAACUCAAUCAUUAUCCAAAUCUCAUCAAAUUACAUAAACUGACAAUACCUCAUGUUGAUGGCCUUCCAUAUGGAGCAGAGACUACAGCUGAUGUUCCUACAUCAUUGGAGAGUCUAUUAGCAACAGCUUUUGAUGAAUUGUAUGAUGAAAUCAAAUCUUUUCUUCGAAAUGUUAAACCCCAUUUCAUUUUCUUUGAUUUUGCUUAUUGGAUUCCUGAUUUAGCACGAGAAAUUGGGGGUAUCAAGACUCUGUUUUACAGUGUUUUUAGCCCUGCUGCAGCAUCUAUAUCAUUUGUUAAGUCACCAGAUAAGACUACAUUUAUGGCAUCAACCGCAGCUGAGCUAGUAAAGCCACCACCAGAUUACCCUUCUACUACUGUGGUGUUGCGCGAAAGUGAAGCUAAGUUGUUAUCAUUUCUAUUACAUGAAUAUGGAAAGGGGGUGACAUUUUACGAACGUGUGAAGAAGGGGAUGACAGGAUGCGAUGCAAUAGGUAUGAGAACAUGUAGAGAGAUUGAAGGAACCUUUUGUGACUACAUAGCAACACAUUCUGAAAAGUCAGUCCUUUACACAGGACCUGUUCUUUCCGAGCCGAAAAAUGAGCCUUUAGAAGAACACGGAUUAUCAAAUUGGCUCGAAAAAUUCGAGCCGGGUCAGUAGUGUUUUGUGCAUUUGGGAGCCAAAUGAUUCUUGAAAAGAAACAGUUUCAACAACUCGUUUUAGGCUUUGAACUGACUGAAUUACCAUUUCUUUUAGUUGUUAAGCCUCCUCAAGGGACAAAUUCAGCCGAAGAAGCGUUGCCGGAGGGAUUCAAAGAAAGGGUUCAAGAAAAGGGAUUGAUUCUCGAUUGUUGGGUGCCGCAAUGGGAGAUUUUAAGUCACAAAUCAGUUGGUUGUUUUGUGACUCACUGUGGUUAUGGAUCAAUGUGGGAGUCUUUGGCGCUGUGUGAUUGUCAAUUGGUACUUUUGCCAAGACCUUUUGAACACACUUUAAUUGCUAGGCUUAUGGAACAACAACUUAAGGUUGGCGUAGAAGUGUAGAAAGAUGAAAACGAUUUGUUUACAAAAGAGAAUUUGUGCAAGGCUGUGAAAUGUGUUAUGGAUAAAGAUAGCCAAAUUGGUCGUCUUGUGAAAGAGAAUCAUAAGAAAUGGAAGGAACUUCUUUCGAGUCCUGGCUUCAUGAGUAACUACAUCGAUAACUUCAUUCAAGACUUGCAUGAACUUCUAGUUGAAAAGACCUAGAUAAUUAGCAGGGGUGGAUCUAAUAUUGAAGUUACGAGUUAAGUGUAUUGUGUUAAGAAAUUUUGCUUAAUAUGUAUGAAUAAUCCAUCCCAACCGAUUCAGAAUUUAUAAACUCAAAACUGUCUAUCUAGUGAUGUAACUUGCAUUUUUCUAACGUUUUCAUGCCGUGUUUAGGAGUUAUACACCUUCCUUUCAAAUUUAGAGUUUUUAUUUUUAGAUAACAUUUUUACCUCUAAAUGCACUUCUGAACACUCAAAGAAGUGUACAAGUUUAGAUCUAAAGUUAAGUCUGGUAUAUUAUAACUACGGAAAAGGACCAAAAAUAUUCUGUCUACAUUUUUUUAGCAUAGAAGAGUCAAUCCAUUAGCUGCAUUACAAGAUUUUAAUUCCAUCUUUUGCCCCUCUUCCAAAUGACAUGUAAAACCAGAACAGGGAAAGAUUUUGUUCACUAACAUCUAAAGUUGAUAAGGUUAAGAAAAGAUUAUUUUCAGUAAAAUAAAAUAAAAUAGAGAGAAGAUAUAUAGAUGGAAUAGAGGACAAUUUAUAAAGGAUCAUAAUUUAUCCAUCUUUUGAACAUAACAAAACAUUCUUCAGGUUUGUCUGUACAAGCUGUGUCCUGAUCCCUAUUAAAUAAAAAUAAAAAUAAACGUAAAAUUAAAUACAAAUAUAAAAUAUAAAUAAAUCUCUUUAAAUAUAACUCAAUCUGGCUAAAUUGAUAUACAUGAAUUGCUUCUCAAUUUUCAUGUAACUUGUUUCUAAAAUUAAUUUCAUACCUUCACUGUUGCAUAAGUCAUUUUGUUGGAGUAAGAUCUCGUAUAGCUACAAUGAUACGAUAUUUGAAAAAUGAUUAAGUAUUAUCAACUCACAUAAUAAUUAGUUUUAAUUAAGAAUUCAUAAUUGUAAUUAAGGAUGUAAAAUUUGGAGAUUAAUUACCCAGCAACUUGAUUGUUUAUGUUCCUAUUGACGCCAAUCAUCAUCAAUAGAGUAGUUUAGAGACUUUAUCCAUGUUUGUGUAUCUUGAAAAGGUACCAUAUAAUCAUGAUCUCCACUGUUAAAUUAAACAUAAAAAGGAAAAACUUCCAUUAUAUAUAUUCAUGAAAUAAGUUGUUUCACUAUAAACUAAUAUACCAAUUAUCUUUAAAUAUAAAAACUGAAGAGUAAUUGGGAACCUGGAUUUAAAAGAUCAUUAAUAAUAUAAUAGUUUGUGUUUGGUACGAAUAAGUCCUUUGACCUUUUGGCAUUACCAUUGAAAAUAUUUAAUAACAUUCUUUUCAGUUCAAUUUAUUGAUGGGUUUGAUUUUUUAUACACUUUUAAAUUCGGAUAUCAUGCGAGUUAGAAUUAUAAUCAUUAGUUGAUAAUAACGGUAAUCUAAAGCUAAAUAUAUAAAGUUAAAACAGACACAAACAUAACAAUGAAUAUUAAUUACCUGUAUAUAAGUGAUCAAUAGCCUUUAGUGUUUAGAUUUGCAUGAUAUGGUACAACAUUAUGUACCGUCAAAGUGUAGUUGUGAUGAGAGCCUUCACUUAUAUCUCUUCUACAUGUUAUCCAGCUUUCUAUAAUUCCCUGCAAAGAGUAAAAUCACAAGUAAAAUUAUCAUUUUAUUUAGAAAAACAAUUCUAAUUAGAUAAACACUCCUAUAUUUGUCUUUAUUUUUUUUGUAAGUAUGUAAUUAUGACGUAAUUACACCAAAAACAUGUAUUUGAAUAAUUAUAUUUUCGUCUUUAUUUUUUUAAGUAUGCAAUUAAGGCGUAAUUACACCAAAUACUUAUAUCUGGAUGACUUUAUCUUCGUCUGCAUUUUUUUCUAAGUAUGUUAUCUAUGCAUAGAUAUUCUGGAUACAUCACAAAAUUGGUAUCAGAUAGAUGUAUUUAUGCACAGAUAUACUAGUAUCAUCACAAAUACAUUGAAAACAUCAAUACAUUUUUAUACUAAAUAUACUAGAUAAAUUUGAUAUACACAGAUACAUUGAAUACAUCAAUGCAUAUUAAAUACUGAAUAUAUGAAUACAUGAAAGUGUGAUAUAUAAAUACAUUAUGAAACAUAAAUACAAGAAACUAGAGGGAUGAAAGAGGCGGACGAUAGAGGAGAGAGAUGAGAUACAUUUACUAGAUACAGUGUAUCUAGAGACAACUCAAACAAGAUUCAUAAUAAUUGAAUGCAUUAAGUAAUUAGCACCUAUAUUGGUGUACUUUAUGAAAGUUUAUUUUUUAUUUAUUGAUUCUUACGAGGUGUAUCAAGUCAAUAUUAUAAGUAGUAUAUAUAUAUAUAUACACACACUUGUAAUCCACAUACCUUCCGAACAUGAAGAGCUUCUUGGACUUCAUGGUCAUUAGCCCAAUACCUCAUAGGCUUGCGCCAAUCAGACUGAAGUAAUUGAGAAAAAGUUUUUACGGUUAGUAGUAUCUUAUUUAUUCAUUUAAGUUAAAUACAGAGACAAUAAAUAUAAUAAUUUAUAUAUAUAGCCUAGGCCAUUAUCAAUCAUUUUCUUCACUUCUAUUUGUCGUAUUCUUUUUUUUUCAAAAUUUUUAGGAUAUAAUUUCUCAAUGGAUGAGGGUAGUUUUUUUUUAAUGUCAUUCAAUUUUUUUUUAACCAAAAGUCAAUUAAUUAAUUAUAGUAUAAAACAAAAUUGAGCAACUUUCUAAAAGAAUUCUCCGAAGUUAAGUGAUCAUCUAAGAUAUUUUUUUAGUGAUCAUCUAAGAUAUUAUCAUUUUUUCCUCUUUUUUUGUUUAGAAAUAUCUUUUAUUAUUAUUGAACAUUGUUAGUUGGGCAUCUAUUUCUCAUAUGUCGUUUCAUAUCGAGAAAAUUAGGAAUGUAUACCGUCAUUAACUACAACAAUAGAAUAGACUCCUAUGCUGAGAGUAUAUGGGUAUAGAGUCUAGCUAACCACCUCAACUUCCAUUCUGACAUGCUAUAAAUAUUAAAGUCACUUGACGGCAAAAAUAUGAGGUAUAAAAAAACUAAAAAAAAACUUACAUCACACUUAUCUUCACGUUGCAAGGAGAUGAGUUUAUCAUCAAGUAAUCUUCUUUCACUAGUCAUUUGAUACAUGUCUUUAGGAUCAUCAUCAUUUGUGCAAAAGGGUUUUAAUACGUGUUCCACAUUAAUGUUUCUUAUCAUCUGCAUAAUUAUAUUUUAAUUUAAUCACAUAAAAAUAAUUAAUAAUAUAUUAUCACACGUUAAACUAUAUCGAUUGAUAGUACUGUAAAACAAUACUUAUAACCUGUUUGAAAUUUCGAAAGUCAUUUGCACAUCCUGUAUUGUUGGGAUGUAUGUUUGUGUAUUCUCCUCUACAAUUCUUCUCUAAUGACUGUUAAGACAAAUUAAUAUUCAAAUUAACUUGAUAUGUCAAAUUCUAAAGUUAAUUAUAUAUAUUUUAGAAUAAUGUGGAAAGUAAUUAAAACAAAUUAAUUACUCUGUCCAUUCGCUAUUCUAUAAAAUCUUAUUUUGACAAAUAAAUCUCAACAAACAAAUUUUAAAAAAAGAUGGAGAAAAAAAUAAAAAAUAAUCUUGAAAUUUGAAUCUUUAACAAUUUUUUAUAAUUUUUUUAGCUCAAUUGGUGAAAAAAUUUGGUUCCAAAAAUAAACUCAAAAAUUUAAAUAGUCAUCCAAAUGCAUUUUAAUUUUUGAAAUCUAGCAUAUUCAUCAUUUAUUGAAAAGUUGACUUAAGAAAACAUUAAAUAACACUAAAAGGGUAAAGUUACUUAAUUUCUUAAUGCAAGUGCAAUCUAAAAAGAUGACAUAUAAAAAAGAACGGAGGGAGUAUAUACCUUUUGUUUUGGUCCGUAAGUUUUCUUUCUUCACUUUUUUUUUUUUUUUUUGGAAUUCAAAUUAUGUAAGUAUCUCAAAAUGUAUAUUUAUCAUCUAAAAAUAAGAAGAAAUUGUAACUUAUCGUAUAAUUUUGAGUAACUAUAUGUUAAUUGGGAAACAUUCAUGAAUUAAUUUAAUCCAAAUCUAACUAUAAAGAUUGAUCAAAUUUAACUUUUAAAAAGCAAAAACUAUAUCAUAAAUUAAAAUAUGACAUAAAAUAUAAUUUAAUUUUUAGUUUUUAAAGUUCAUACAAAAUUUAAAUAAAAUAAUCAAAUAAUAUAAAAUAAAGAGAGUACUAGAUUGUUUUAUUUGUUGCACAUAUUUUUCUCUACGUGGAUAAAAUAUAACCACACUACUUUAGUUUGAUAUUUUAGGUAUCCUCGGGUCCCGCAGGAGUAAUUAGUAAUUUUGCUGAAUUAAUGCAAGCUGGUUAGAUGUGUGAAAUAGAGGACUCGUACGUAUUUGUUAUUAUUGCUACAAUAAAGAGAUUAAAGUUUUGACAAAGACUAAACAACUAUCGAUCUGCCAUUAAUAGAGAAAUAAGAUAGCUAGCAAGAGAAGUAGAGAGAUAGAUUAUAGAUAUCUUCUGGAUCUGCCCAAGACUUUAGCAAUGGGUUUAAUAUAUUUGAGUUAAGAUAGAUAAAAGGUUGGACAUGAGUUUUAAUUUGGGAAUGACUCGUUUUUAAGAAAAAGGGGUACUUUGGGCUGAUUUGAGGCUUUUCGUCAAAUUACAGAUAUGAGCGACAAGUUUGUAAAUGGAGGGAUUUAAAUGACCACAUAGUAUAACUGAGGAUAAAACUAUCAAAGUUGUGGAAUAUGUUUUUAUUUGAACAUUCAAUUUGAAUUUUUUAAAGUGCAAAUCCUAAUACAAAUUAAAUGUGAAAUACAGUCUAAAGCUUUUACAAAUGAUUCAUUUAAUUCUGGUCCCAAAUGUAGUCUAUUCACUGUCUCCAAAUUAAUUACUCCCUCCGUUCCUUUUUAUAUGUCAUCCAUUUCUAUAAAUAGUUAGUUCAUAAUACUUGUCAUUUCAUAAAAUUAAUGCAUAAAUUAUCAUAUUCCUCCUAUUAUACCCUUGAUAGAGUAGUUAAUUAGUCUUGAAAAUAUAUACUUUGACCAACCUAGGAAAACUAAUAAGUAAUUAAUAUUCAUGGGAGUACUUCAUACAUUGAUUAAUUACUCUCUCCAUUUACUAUUCUAUAAAAUUUUAUUUUGACAAAGAAAUCUCAACAAACAAAUUAAAAAUAAAAGAUUGAGAAAAAAUAAAAAAUAAUCUUGAAAUUUGAAUCUUUAACAAAUUUUUAGCUCAAUUGGUGAAAAAAUUUGGCUCCAAAAAUAAACUCAAAAAUUUAAAUAUUCAUCCAAAUGCAUUUUCAUUUUUGAAAUCUAGCAUAUUCAUCAUUUAUUAUAGGGGUGUACAAAAUCGAACCGAAAACCGAACCAAAUCGCAAACCGAGUCAAACCGGAAAUAAACCCGACUAGUGGUUUGGUUUGACUUGGUUUGGUAUUGGAAAAAAAAAACUCGAUUAUAUUUGGGUUUGUUUGGUUUCAACUAAAAAAAAUCAACCCGAGACCAAACUAACCCAACAAUAUAUAAAUAAUUUUAAAAUUUUAUUUUAUACGUAAAAAUAUUUACUUUGAUAUAAUUUUUAAAUAUUUCUUCUACUUUUUCAUAGUUUUUAUCUUUUAAUAUAUUAUUUCAUGAUUGAAAGAUAGAAUUCUUAAUGACCCAAUAAAAAUUAUAGUCCAUAGAUAUUGGUAAUUAUAAUAAAGCUUAAAUCAAAAUCAAAUUAAUACUAAUGCAAAAAGAAAAUCAAUUCAACACUAAGAAUGAAAAUAAUAUUGAAUAUUUGUUCUUUGGUUUUACAUUGGUUUAGACAAUUNNNNNNNNNNNNNNNNNNNNNNNNNNNNNNNNNNNNNNNNNNNNNNNNNNNNNNNNNNNNNNNNNNNNNNNNNNNNNNNNNNNNNNNNNNNNNNNNNNNNNNNNNNNNNNNNNNNNNNNNNNNNNNNNNNNNNNNNNNNNNNNNNNNNNNNNNNNNNNNNNNNNNNNNNNNNNNNNNNNNNNNNNNNNNNNNNNNNNNNNNNNNNNNNNNNNNNNNNNNNNNNNNNNNNNNNNNNNNNNNNNNNNNNNNNNNNNNNNNNNNNNNNNNNNNNNNNNNNNNNNNNNNNNNNNNNNAUUAUUAUUAUUAUUUGGAUAUUUUAGUGUCAUUAAUCAUAUCAUAUUGUGUUAUAUUUUUAAGAAACAUCUUAGAUAGUUGUAUUUUAAUAGGACUAAAAAAAUAUUUGAAGUAUAAGUAAAUUAUACGUUUGUACGAAUACUUUACCGAAAAAAUCCAAAAAAAUCCGAGGUUGAAAAACCCGACUUUUAUUGGUUUGGUUUAUAAAUUCAAAAAUCCGACACAAAUGGUUUGGUUUGAUAUUUGAAAAACCCGAACCAACCCGACCAUGUACACCCCUAAUUUAUUAAAAAGUUGACUUAAGAAAACAUUAAAUAAGGGCAGAAGGGUAAAGUUACUUAAUUUCCUAAUGCAAGUGCAAUCUAAAAAAAUGACAUAUAAAAAGAUACGGAGGGAGUAUAUACCUUUUCUUUUGGUCCGUAAGUUUUCUUUCUUCACUUUUUUGUUUUUUGGAAUUCAAAUUGUGUAAAUAUCUCAAAAUGUAUAUUUUAUCAUCUAAAAAUAAGAAAUUGUAACUUAUCGUAUAAAUUUGAAUAACUAUAUGUUAAUUUGGAAACAUUCAUGAAUUAAUUUAAUCAAAUCUAACUUUAAAGAUUGAUCAAAUUUAACUUUUUAAAAAGCAAAAACUAUAUCAUAAAUUAAAAUAUUACAUACAAUUUAAUUUAAUUUAAUUUUUACUUUUUUAAAGUUCAUACAAAAAUUUAAAUAAAAUAAUCAAAUAAUAUAAAAUGAAGAGAGUACUGGAUUGUUUUAUUUGUUGCACAUAUUUUUCUCUACGUGGAUAAAAUAUAACCACACUACUUUAGUUUAAUAUUUUAGGUAUCCUCGGGUCCCGCAGGUGUAAUUAGUAAUUUUGCCGAAUUAAUGGGUCAUGCAAGCUAGUAAGAUGUGUGAAAUAGAGGACUCAUACACAUUUGUUAUUGUUGCUAUAAUCAAGAGAUUAAACUCUCGAAAAAGACUAAACAACUACCGAUAUGCCAUUAAUAGCGAGAUAAGAAAAAAUAUUUGAGAAAUAAACUUAAUUCUAAAAGAGAAAUGAAUUCACUAUCAAGAUAACUGGCAAGAGAAGUAGAGAGAUAGAUUAUAGAUAUCUUCUGGAUCUGCCCAAGACUUUAGCAAUGGGUUCAAUUUAUUUGGGUUAAGAUAGAUAAAAGGUCGGACAUGACUUUCAAUUUGGGAAUGACUCGUUUUUAAGAAAAACAGGUAAUUUGGGCUGAUUUGAGGCUUUUCCUCAAAUUAGAGAUAUGAGUGACAAGUUUGUAAAUGGAGGGAUUUAAAUGGUCACAUAGUAUAACGGAGGAUAAAACUAGCAAAGUUGUGGAAUAUCUUUGACCCUUCUCCUAUUAAAAUUAGCAAAAAUUAUCUAAAUACACAAUUUAUUUUAUCAUGUUCUCUAAAAUUUCCUAUCAUUUGUAAAAGUUACAAAAAUCUUUACUCUCUCCUAUUCUCGCAUACAUCGCUUUACGCGAUUUAUCGGUCAGAUACAUAUAUCACUUUACAUGAUGUAUCGGUCAGAUACAUCACUUGUGCUAUGUAUCAAGACGUUGAGUGAUGUAUUCGAAACUGAAACGCGAUGUAUCGGAAUAUUGAGGAUGUAUAAGCUGGGACACGAUGUAUCAUGGCGUUUUGGGAUGUAUUUGGAUUCCACCAAAUUUAAUUUUUUGUAAAUUCAAAAUAAGAGUAGGAAUAAGAUGUAAUUAGUUGUUAACAUAUUGAGAUUCGUGUAAAAUUCCUUUAAAAUUAUGCUAUAUUUGAUUGAAGUUUAUGAAUAUAUCUCAAACUCCAGUAGGAUAAAUUGAAAGCAAUUCAUCAAAGGCAAAGCAGGAAAAAAAGGAUUACACAUUCUACAGAAGAGUCAAAGCUGAAAAUAGUGAUGUUCCAAUGGCUUGCUUUUGGGCACUUGAUCCCAUAUAUACCUUUAAAAUACACUAUUAAAUAAUACAGGGGUAAAAGGUCCUCUAUAAAGUUUGAUAUUGUAACAACAAUUUCGGCCAAAAUUGAAGUAUUUUUCAGACCAUUUUCCCAAUUUAGAUUUAUUAUUUUGAUGGUCAAAUAUAUUUAAGUUUCGCUAAUAUUCUUGUAAAAUUCAUUAUAGAUGACCCAAUUUUUUCUUCAAAUACAAAAACUAAAUUAUAAUAUAUCCGAAAAAAAUAGUUUUAAAUUUUUUUCUUUACACUAAGGAAUGAAAGAAAAAAAAUAAAAUAAGAAUAAGAAACUCAAAUAAUGAUAAUCAAGAAGUCAAAAAAUAAUUUAUGUCCGAAAAAAAUUAUAACAUACCUUGAAAUUUGCUAGAAAAAUCAUAUAUCCCCCUAAAUGAUUUUUAAAAAAAAUCAAAAGUAAAAAAUAUAAAUUUAAAACUAUUUUUUUUCACUUCUGUUAAAUGAAGGGUAUAUGUGAGCCGUUUGUAUAACGGUAAGGGUAUAUAUGAGUCAUUUUCAUAACGAGGGGCAUAUCAGCUCCAAAUGGAAAAGUUGAGGGGUAUAUCGGACCCUUUUCCCUAGGUAGAUAUUAUUUAGUAGUAAAAGACUAUUUUACCCUUGUCCUCCUCCUCCUCAUGUUUCUAUAUAGUAGAAAUAAUAUACUCCCUCCGUUUUACAAAGAAUGACCUCAUUUCUUUUUUAGUCAAUUUAAAAAAAAAUGAUCUUUUUCUUUUUUUGGUAAUAUUUUAAUUUUAGCUUUCCAUGUGGCAUGUUUAAGGCCACAAGAUUAAAGGGAAAUUUUGUACAUUUGACAUAACUUUAAUUUAGGACCACAAAUUCAAAAGUCUUCUUUAUUUUUCUUAAACUUCGUGCCAAGUCAAAUUAGAUCAUUCUUUGUGAAACGGAGGGAGUAAUAGAUAGUAAGAUUGAAAUGAUAUAUAAAAAAAAGGGCUCACAUGCAUUACACAUGUUUAGAGGCUAUUAGUGAGAAAACAAGGUAAGGCCAAGUACAUAGUACAAUUUGUAUUGCUCAUUGUACAACUUUUCAUAGCCAUGGCCGUCCUUCCAUGGCUGUUCUAUAUAAUAUAAUAAAAGGCCAAACACAUAUAUAACCCUUCUAACUUGCCCUCAUUUUUCAUUUUGACACUCCAACUUAGCCUUGUUCCAUUUUAAUACUUAAACUCCAUUUUUUAUAUACCAUUUUAACACGAAAUACUAUUUUUAUGAUUUCUUUAUUUUUAUAUAUAUUCUUCAAUUGCAACUUCUUAUUUUAAAUCGACAUGUGUCAGUUAAUUUUAGUUUAAAAAAAUAAAAAUUAACAAAAAGUAAUUCUUUUUAAAAAAUAAUAAUUUCUUUUUAAGAGUUUUAUGUAUUUUUAUGUGAAAAAUAACCGAGUAUUUUUGUGUGAAAAAUAACUGACGAAAUUGUGUUUGUUUUCUUUCUUUAAAAUCACCGACAACCUAACAAAGUCAGUCGAGUUUUAACAUUGUUUAGUAGUGUUAUUAGCAAUGAACAAGAGUCUUUUUUACUCGUAUUGAAGAUGAGUUUUCUUAUUCGUAUUGAUUUAUAUUAAAAAUUAAAAGUGAGUAUUUGCGUUAAAUUUAGAUAGCCUAGAUGAUAAGAAAAAAUAAAUAAGUAGUGUUAUUUAAUUUAAUUGAAUGUUUAAGAAAGAAAAUCAAAGAACUUUCGUCAAUUUACUUUCAUGCAAAAAUACAGAGAAAUCUCAAAAAAUAAUAUUAUUGUUUGAAAUUUUUUAUGUUCGUUCGCGAAUGUUCAAUUUUUUUAUGAAAAUUAACAAAUACACGUCUAUUUUUUUAAAAUAAAAAAUUGCAAUUGAAGAACAUAAAUAAAUAAAAAAAUCAUGAAAAUUAGUAUUAUUGUUUAAAUGGUACAGAAAAAAUGGAGGUUAAGGGUUAAAAUGGAACAAGGCUAAGUUGGAGUGCCAAAAUGAAAAAUGAGGACAAGUUUGAGGGGUUGUGUAAGGAACCUUUCUGAACCAGUGGGUCCCACUCAGGGAUAACAUAUUGAUGGAUCUUUCGAGAUGAAAUAUGAAAUUAGAUUGUUAUAAAAUCGGAAUUUUACAUCAAAAUUAGAUUGGAAAAUAUCUAUCUAAUAAUUUGAGAUAGGAGAAAAAAAAGAUGACAGAGUUCAUACAAGAGUCAAAAAUGGAAAUAGUGAUGUUCCCAUGGCUUGCAUUUGAGCACUUUAAAGGGUCGUAGAUGGCUUAAGCCUAAAUACCCCCAAUUAUCCGCGGCCCCAUGCCCCCAAUUAUUUAAAAGUGAACUUAAAAAAAAAAAAUCAAUACCAGAAUUCAAUUACUCUCAAGGAGCAUAUCAUAUCCUCUUUGGGAUCAAUUUAACAUCUCAAAGGAGAAAAAAAAAGAUGAUAGAGUCCAUAGAAGAGUCAAAGAUGAAUAUAAUGAUGUUCCCAUGGCUUGGUUUUGGACACUUGGUCCCAUAUAUGACUCUGUCAAAUGAACUUGCAAAAAGAGGUCACAAAAUCUCAUUCUUGUUGCCCAAAAAUGCUGAAAUUAGACUUCAAAAACUCAAUCUUUAUCCAAAUCUCAUCAAAUUUCAUAAACUGACAAUACCUCAUGUUGAUGGCCUUCCAUAUGGAGCAAAGACUACAGCUGAUGUUCCUGAAUCCUUGGAGAGUCUAUUAGCAACAACUUUUGAUGAAUUGUAUGGUGAAAUCAAAUCUUUUCUUCAAAAUCUAAAACCCCAUUUUGUUUCUUUGAUUUUGCUUAUUGGAUUCCUGAUUUAGCACAAGAAAUUGGAGGUAUCAAGACUCUGUUUUACACUAUUUUUAGCCUGGCUGAAUUGUCUGUAUCACCGGAUAAGGCUACUUUUAUGGCAUCAACUGCAGCUGAUCUAGUAAAGCCACCACCAGAUUACCCUUCUACUACUGUGGUGUUGCGCGAAAGUGAAGCUAAGUUGUUAUCAUUUCUGUUUCAUGAAUAUGGAAAGGGGGUGACAUUUUACGAACGGGUGAAGAAGGGGAUGACAGGAUGCGAUGCAAUAGGUAUGAGAACAUGUAGAGAAAUUGAAGGAACCUUUUGUGACUACAUAGCAACACAUUCUGAAAAGCCCGUCCUUUACACAGGACCUGUCUUUCCAAGCCGAAAAAUGAGCCUUUAGAAGAACACGGAUUAUCAAAUUGGCUCGAGAAAUUCGAGCCAGGAUCAGUAGUGUUCUGUGCAUUUGGGAGCCAAAUGAUUCUUGAAAAGAAACAGUUUCAAGAACUCGUUUUAUGGUUUGAACUGACUGAAUUACCAUUUCUAUUAGUUGUUAAGCCACUCAAGGGACAAAUUCAAUAGAAGAAGCGUUGCCGGAGGGAUUCAAAGAAAGGGUUCAAGAAAAGGGAUUGAUUCUUGAUUGUUGGGUGCCACAAUUGGAGAUUUUAAGUCACAAAUCAGUUGGUUGUUUUGUGACUCACUGUGGUUAUGGGUCGAUGUGUGAGUCUAUUGUUGGGUUUAUGAUUAACCUGAAUACAUGAGAUAACAUCUUUGGCGCUGUGUGAUUGUCAAUUGGUACUUUUGCCAAGACCUUUUGAACACACUUUAAUUGCUAGGCUUAUGGAACAACAACUUAAGGUUGGCGACUUGGCGUAGAAGUUGAGAAAGAUGAAAACGAUUUGUUUACGAAAGAGAAUUUUUGCAAGUCUGUGAAAUGUGUGAUGGAUAAAGAUAGCCAAAUUGGUUGUCAUGCGAAAGAAAAUCAUAGGAAAUGGAAGGACCUUAUUUCAAGUACUGGCUUCAUGACUAACUAUAUUGACAACUUUGUUGACAACUUGCAUGCACUUCUUGUUGAAAACACCUAGAUUAGCGGGAAGGUUAAUAGGUAUGAAUAAUUCAUGUACAAUCAAUGGUUAUCUUGUUUUGAAAUUCUGAAUUCAUAAAUUUAAAAUCUUAUAUUUGAAUAAAUAUAUUAUACUAAUAUUUUCAUAAAUAUAAUGAUCAUCUAAUAUUGAUCUUUUUAAUUAAAAGUUCAGUUUAGUCUUUUGAUUACAUCGGAAUUUUAAGUUUUUUUUGUAUCUUGGAUAUUUUAAUGUAGUUAUUUAAGAGUUAUACAGCUUCCUUCAAAUUUAGUGUUAUUUUUUACUACCUCAAGAAAAAUACUAUCCAGAGUUAGUGAUACAUUUGUUAUAUCUUAUAACAUGUAUUGUGUUAGUAAUGCUCCAACCUAGUAUGAUUAAGUUAUUUUCUGAACCACUUAAGUUACUAUGAACUUAGAAAUAUUUUAGACCCCAAGGUAUUGAUAGCAAAAUAUUAGGCGAAUUGAAAUGGUCAAUUAUAUAAAUUAUUCAAAGUUUAAUAGAAUUAUUGUAUUUUUUUUUCAUAUUUACUUUUCAUUUAAUGAGAUUUUUAACUAUUUUACAUUUUCUAUCCUAACAUGAUGAGAUAUAGGCCCUCUAAAAUAUGUGUUGGUGAGAAAUCCAAUGUUUCAGUUCCUUGGAAAUGGACGAUAGAUAAAGAUUUUUAAAAAUGUUAUAAAAACUUUGACUAUAUAGUAUAAUAUGUUAGAUGAUGUGCUAAAUAAUUUAAACUAAUAAAUUUUAUUAGAUAUAUUUAUGUUAUUUGAAUUUUAAGAGCACUAUAUAUUGAUAAUGCAUCUUCACAUAAAAUUCAUGAAUUUACUCAUUUUAUAGGAUACCUACCACUUAGGUUAUCUAAUAAUAAAUGUAUCGUGAGCCAAACUCCCCACUUGACUAUACUUUUCAUCGAUCCGAUAAUCGUUUGUGAUGAAUUCUCAUAAAGCAUGUAGAUAAACUUCACUCUAUACAUUUUACAAAUAGCAGAAGAAAAAAUUGUCAUAACUAAAGCAAAUAUUAUUAAUAAUUUUUUUAAAAUAAUAACAUAAUAUCUUAUGUAUUCAAUAUUCAAUAGCAUGAUAAUGUUUUCAAAGAUACGGUGAAUUAGGGGUGUACAUGGCCGGGUUGGUUCGGGUUUUUCAAAUAUCAAACCAAACCAUUUAGGUCGGAUUUUUAAAUUUAUAAACCAAACCAAACCAAUAAAACUCGGGUUUUUCAACCUCGGGUUUUUUCGGGUUUUUCGGUUUUUCGGGUUUUUCCGGUAAAGUAUUCAUACACAACAUAUAAUUUACUUGUACUUCAAAUAUUUCUUUAGUCCUACCAAAAUACAACUAUCUAAGAUGUUUCUUAAAAAUAUAACACAAUAUAAUAUGAUUAAUGACACUAAAAUAUCCAACAAAAAUAAUAAUAAUGAAAUCGCGUAAAACAAAUAUUGCAAAUUAACAAGUCAUAAUGAAAAUGAUCAUAAUUUAAAAGUACUAAAUCAUGCUAAAAUUAAGUUUAAUAAGUAUUAGUUACAUGACUAAAUAUUAAAGAAAAUUAAAAUUAGAUUAUGUAUUUUAAUUGUCUAAACCAAUGUAAAACUAAAGAACAAAUAUUCAAUAUUAUUGUCAUUCUUAGUGUUGAAUUGAUUUUCUUUUUGCAUUAGUAUUAAUUUGAUUUAGAUUUAAGCUUUAUUAUAAUUACCAACAUCUGUGAACUAUAAUCUUUAUUGAACCAUUUAGAAUUCUAACUCAAACUUGAAAUAAUAAUAUAUGAAAAGAUAAAAACUAUGAAAAAGUAUAAGAAAGAUUUAAAAAUUAUUUCAAAGUAAAUAUUUUUAUGUAUAAAAUAAAAUUUUAAAAUUAUAUAUAUAAUGUCGGGUUGAUUUGGUCUCGGGUUGGUUUUUUUUAGUUAAAACCAAACCAACCCAAAUAUAGUCGGAUUUUUUUUAUAUAAAUUCGGGUUGGUUUGGUCUCGGGUUGGUUUUUUUUAGUUAAAACCAAACCAACCCAAAUAUAGUCGGGUUUUAUUUUUCAAAACCAAACCAAGUCAAACCAAACCACUAGUCGGGUUUUUUUUCCGGGUUGACUCAGUUUGCGGUUUGGUUCGGUUCUCGGUUCGGUUUUGUACACCCCUACGGUGAAUGAUAAAUUGACCUCAGUUUAUUAGUCUUUUUUAAAAAGUGAGAAAAUAUAUAAGAUAAUAUAAAGGAUAUUUAUAAAGGAUCGUGACUAUUCCAUCUUUUGAACAUAACAAAACAUUCUUCAGGCUUGUAGGAACUAAUUGUGUGUCCUGCUUCCUAUUAAAAAAAACAAAUAAAGUAAAAAUAUAAUAAUCAAAAGCUCUUAAAAAAAUUCAAUUUAGCUAAAUUGAGAUAAAUUAACUUAUAUAGUGUAAAAUUAGUGGCACAAUUAAUUUUAAAUACCUUCACGGUUGCACAAGUCAUUUAGUUGGAGUAAGAUCUUGUAUAACUACAAUGAUACGAUAUUAGAAAAAUGAUUAAGUAUUAUCAACUAACUUAAUGAUUAGUUUUAAUUAAAAAUUCAUAAUUGUAAUUAAGGAUGUUAAAUUUGGAGAUUAAUCACUCAGCAACUUGAUUAUUUACGUUCCAUGGAUGCCAAUCAUCAUCAAUAGAGUAGUUUAGAGACUUUAUCCAUGUUUGUGUGUCUUGAAAAGGUACUAUAUAAUCAUGAUCUCCACUGUUAAAUUAAACAUGAAAAAAAAAACUUCCAUUAUAUAUAUAUAUAUAUAUUCAUGAAAUAAGUUGUUUCUGUUGGAAAGCUAUAUUUGAUGAUAAGGAACGAAUGGACCUCCUUUAAAGUUUUAUGACACAUAUUUGUGAACAAUUAAAUCCCAUAUCUCCAAAGACAAAUAUGUGCACAAAAUUGAAAGAGAGGUAGCAUUUCGUCAAAGGCAAAAGAGUAAAAAAGAUGACAGAGUCCAUAGAAGAGUCAAAACUGGAAAUAGUGAUGUUCCCAUGGCUUGCUUUUGGUCACUUAAUCCCAUACAUGAAUCUGUCAAAUGAACUUGCAAAAAGAGGUCACAAAAUCUCAUUCUUGUUGCCCAAAAAUGCUGAAGUUAGACUUCAAAAACUCAAUCUUUACCCAAAUCUCAUCACAUUACAUAAACUGACAAUGCCUCACGUUCAUGGCCUUCCAUAUGGAGCAGAGACUACAGCUGAUGUUCCUGGAUCCUUGGAGAGUCUAUUAGCAACAGCUUUUGAUGAAUUGUAUGAUGAAAUCAAAUCUUUUCUUCAAAAUCUAAAACCCCAUUUCGUUUUCUUUGAUUUUGCUUAUUGGAUUCCUGAUUUAGCACUAGAAAUUGGGGGUAUCAAGACUCUAUGUUACAAAGUUGUUUGCCCUGCUAUAUCAUCUAUAGCAUUGAUUCGAUCACCGGUUAAGACUACAUUUAUGGCAUCAACUGCAGCUGAGCUAGUAAAGCCACCACCAGAUUACCCUUCUACUACUGUGGUGUUGCGUGAAAGUGAAGCUAAGUUGUUAUCAUUUCUAUUUCAUGAAUAUGGCAAGGGGGUGACAUUUUACGAACGAUCCAAGAAGGGAAUGACAGGAUGCAACGCAAUAGGUGUGAAAACAUGUAGAGAGAUUGAAGGAACCUUUUGUGACUACAUAGCAACACAAUUUGAAAAGCCAGUCCUGUACACAGGGCCUGUUCUUGCUGAACCGACAAAGGGGCCUUUAGAAGAACAUGGAUUAUCGGAUUGGCUCGAGAAAUUCGAGGCAGGAUCAGUAGUGUUCUGUGCAUUUAGGAGCCAAAUGAUUCUUGAAAAGAAACAGUUUCAACAACUUGUUUUAGGCUUUGAACUGACUGAGUUACCAUUUCUUUUAGUUGUUAAGCCACCUGAAGGGACAAAUUCAGUAGAAGAAGCCUUGCCGGAGGGAUUCAAAGAAAGGGUUCAAGAAAAAGGAUUGAUUCUUGAUUGUUGGGUGCCACAAUUGGAGAUUUUAAGUCACAAAUCAGUUGGUUGUUUUGUGACUCACUGUGGUUAUGGGUCGAUGUGGGAGUCUUUGGCACUGUGUGAUUGUCAAUUGGUACUUUUGCCAAGGCCUAUUGAUCACAUNNNNNNNNNNNNNNNNNNNNNNNNNNNNNNNNNNNNNNNNNNNNNNNNNNNNNNNNNNNNNNNNNNNNNNNNNNNNNNNNNNNNNNNNNNNNNNNNNNNNNNNNNNNNNNNNNNNNNNNNNNNNNNNNNNNNNNNNNNNNNNNNNNNNNNNNNNNNNNNNNNNNNNNNNNNNNNNNNNNNNNNNNNNNNNNNNNNNNNNNNNNNNNNNNNNNNNNNNNNNNNNNNNNNNNNNNNNNNNNNCUCUUUAAAUAUAACUCAAUCUGGCUAAAUUGAUAUACAUGAAUUGCUUCUCAAUUUUCAUGUAACUUGUUUCUAAAAUUAAUUUCAUACCUUCACUGUUGCAUAAGUCAUUUUGUUGGAGUAAGAUCUCGUAUAACUACAAUGAUACGAUAUUAGAAAAAUGAUUUAAGUAUUAUCAACUAACAUACUAAUUAGUUUUAAUUAAAAAAUCAUAAUUGUAAUUAAGGAUGUAAAAUUUGGAGAUUAAUUACCCAGCAACUUGAUUGUUUACGUUCCAUUGACGCCAAUCAUCAUCAAUAGAGUAGUUUAGAGACUUUAUCCAUGUUUGUGUGUCUUGAAAAGGUACCAUAUAAUCAUGAUCUCCACUGUUAAAUUAAACAUAAAAAGAAAAAACUUCCAUUAUAUAUAUAUUCAUGAAAUAAGUUGUUAUCUGUUGGAAAGCUAUAUUUGAUGAUAAGGAAGGAACCAAUGGACCUCCUUUAAAGUUUUAUGACACAUUUGUGAACAAUUAAAUCCCAUAUCUCCAAAUACAAAUAUGUGCACAAAAUUGAAAGAGAGGUAGCCAAAUUGGUCGUCUUGUGAAAGAGAAUCAUAAGAAAUGGAAGGAACUUCUUUCGAGUCCUGGCUUCAUGAGUAACUACAUUGAUAACUUCAUUCAAGACUUGCAUGGGCUUCUAGUUGAAAAGACUAGAUAAUUAGCAGAAUGAAUCUAAUGUUGAAGUUACGAGGUUGACAGAAUUCAGUGAAUUGUGUUGAGAAAUUUUGCUUAAUAUGUAUGAAUCUAUAGACUCAAAACUGUCUAUCUAGUGAUGUAACUUGCAUUAUUCGAAUGUUUUCAUGCCAUGUUUAGGAGUUAUACACCUUCAUCUCAAAUUUGGAGUUUUUUUUUUAAGAUAACAUUUUUACCUCUAAAUGCACUUUCUGAACACUCAAAGGAGUCUAGGAAAAAGGACCAUAAAUAUUAUGUCUAAAUUUUAUUAUUAGCAUAGAAGAGUUUAAUCCAUUAGGUGCAUUACAAGAUUUUAAUCCCAUCUUCAGCCCCUCUUCCAAAAGACAUGUAAAACCAGAACAGGGGAAGAUUUUGUUCACAAACAUCUAAAGUUGGUAAAGUUAAGAAAAUAUUAUUUUCAGUAAAAUAAAAUAAAAUAGAGAGAAGAUAUAUAGAUGAAGUUGAGGACUAUUUAUAAAGGAUCAUAAUUUAUCCAUCUUUUGAACAUAACAAAACAUUCUUCAGGUUUGUCUGUACAAGCUGUGUGUCCUGAUCCCUAUUAAACAAAAAUAAAAAUAAAUGCAAAGUUAAAUACAAAUAUAAAAUAAAAAUAAAGCUCUUUAAAUAUAACUCAAUCUGGCUAAAUUGACACAAUAAUUACUUCUCAAUUUUCAUGUAAUUAACUUAUUUCUAAAAUUAAUUUCAUACCUUCACUGUUGCGUAAGUCAUUUUGUUGGAGUAAGAUCUCGUAUAACUACAAUGAUACGAUAUUAGAAAAAUGAUUUAAGUAUUAUCAACUAACAUACUAAUUAGUUUUAAUUAAAAAAUCAUAAUUGUAAUUAAGGAUGUAAAAUUUGGAGAUUAAUUACCCAGCAACUUGAUUGUUUACGUUCCAUUGACGCCAAUCAUCAUCAAUAGAGUAGUUUAGAGACUUUAUCCAUGUUUGUGUGUCUUGAAAAGGUACCAUAUAAUCAUGAUCUCCACUGUUAAAUUAAACAUAAAAAGAAAAAACUUCCAUUAUAUAUAUAUUCAUGAAAUAAGUUGUUAUCUGUUGGAAAGCUAUAUUUGAUGAUAAGGAAGGAACCAAUGGACCUCCUUUAAAGUUUUAUGACACAUUUGUGAACAAUUAAAUCCCAUAUCUCCAAAUACAAAUAUGUGCACAAAAUUGAAAGAGAGGUAGCCAAAUUGGUCGUCUUGUGAAAGAGAAUCAUAAGAAAUGGAAGGAACUUCUUUCGAGUCCUGGCUUCAUGAGUAACUACAUUGAUAACUUCAUUCAAGACUUGCAUGGGCUUCUAGUUGAAAAGACUAGAUAAUUAGCAGAAUGAAUCUAAUGUUGAAGUUACGAGGUUGACAGAAUUCAGUGAAUUGUGUUGAGAAAUUUUGCUUAAUAUGUAUGAAUCUAUAGACUCAAAACUGUCUAUCUAGUGAUGUAACUUGCAUUAUUCGAAUGUUUUCAUGCCAUGUUUAGGAGUUAUACACCUUCAUCUCAAAUUUGGAGUUUUUUUUUUAAGAUAACAUUUUUACCUCUAAAUGCACUUUCUGAACACUCAAAGGAGUCUAGGAAAAAGGACCAUAAAUAUUAUGUCUAAAUUUUAUUAUUAGCAUAGAAGAGUUUAAUCCAUUAGGUGCAUUACAAGAUUUUAAUCCCAUCUUCAGCCCCUCUUCCAAAAGACAUGUAAAACCAGAACAGGGGAAGAUUUUGUUCACAAACAUCUAAAGUUGGUAAAGUUAAGAAAAUAUUAUUUUCAGUAAAAUAAAAUAAAAUAGAGAGAAGAUAUAUAGAUGAAGUUGAGGACUAUUUAUAAAGGAUCAUAAUUUAUCCAUCUUUUGAACAUAACAAAACAUUCUUCAGGUUUGUCUGUACAAGCUGUGUGUCCUGAUCCCUAUUAAACAAAAAUAAAAAUAAAUGCAAAGUUAAAUACAAAUAUAAAAUAAAAAUAAAGCUCUUUAAAUAUAACUCAAUCUGGCUAAAUUGACACAAUAAUUACUUCUCAAUUUUCAUGUAAUUAACUUAUUUCUAAAAUUAAUUUCAUACCUUCACUGUUGCGUAAGUCAUUUUGUUGGAGUAAGAUCUCAUAUAACUACAAUGAUACGAUAUUAGAAAAAUGAUUUAAGUAUUAUCAACUAACAUACUAAUUAGUUUUAAUUAAAAAAUCAUAAUUGUAAUUAAGGAUGUAAAAUUUGGAGAUUAAUUACCCAGCAACUUGAUUGUUUACGUUCCAUUGACGCCAAUCAUCAUCAAUAGAGUAGUUUAGAGACUUUAUCCAUCGUUUGUGUGUCUUGAAAAGGUACCAUAUAAUCAUGAUCUCCACUGUUAAAUUAAACAUAAAAAAAAACUUUCAUUAUAUAUAUUCAUGAAAUAAGUUGUUUCACUAUAAACUAAUAUGCCAAUUAUCUUUAAAUAUUAAAAACUGAAGAGUAAUUGGGAACCUGGAUUUAAAAGAUCAUUAAUAAUAUAAUAGUUUGUGUUUGGUACGAAUAAGUCCUUUGGCCUUUUGGCAUUAUCAUUGAAAAUAUUUAAUAACAUUCUUUUCAGUUUAAUUUAUUGAUGGGUUUGAUUUUUUAUACACUUCCAAAUUCGGAUAUCAUGUGAGUUAGAAUUAUAAUUAUUAGUUGACAAUAACUAUAAUCUCAAGUCAAAUAUAUAAAGUUAAAACAGACACAAACGUAACAAUGAAUAUUAAUUACUUGUAUAUAAGUGAUCGAUAGCCUUUAGUGCUUAGAUUUGCAUGAUAUGGUACAACAUUAUGUACCGUCAAAGUGUAGUUGUGAUGAGGGCCUUCACUUAUAUCUCUUCUACAUUUUAUCCAGCUUUCUAUAAUUCCCUGCAAAGAGUAAAAUCACAAGUAAAAUUAUCAUUUUAUUUUUAAAAAAAAUCUAAUUAGACAAACACUCUUAUAUUUGUCUUUAUUUUUUAUUGUAAGUAUGUAAUUAGGACGUAAUUCCACCAAAUACAUGUAUUUGAAUAACUAUAUUAUCGUCUUAAUAUUUUUAAGUGUGUAAUUACGGCGUAAUUACACCGGAUACUUAUAACUGGAUGACUAUAUCUUCGUUUGCAUUUUUUUCUAAGUAUGUUAUUUAUGCAUAGAUAUCCUGGAUACAUCACAAAAUUGAUACCAGAUAGGUGUAUUUUUGCACAAAUAUACUAGUAUCAUCACAGAUACAGUGAAAACAUCAAUGCAUUUUUAUACUAAAUAUACUAGAUAAAUUUGAUAUACCCAGAUACAUUGAAUAUAUCAGUGCAUAUUAAAUACUGAAUAUAUGAAUACAUGAAAGUGUGAAAUAUAAAUACAUUAUGAAACAUAAAUACAAAAAACUAGAGGGAUGAGAGAGGCGGACGAUAGAGGAGUGAGAUAAGAUACAUUCAUUAGAUACAAUGUAUCUAGAGACAACUCGAACAAGAUUCAUAAUUAUUGAAUGCAUUGAUGAGUAAUUAGCACAUGUACUAGUGUACUUUAUGAAAGUUUAUUUUUUAUUUAUUGAUUCUUACGAGGUGUAUCAAGUCAAU
rnacentral:lncRNA from 1 species